rnacentral:tRNA from 1 species
GGCUUCGUGGCCCAGUGGUAAGGAUACUUGCCUCUCACCCUGGAGUCCCAGGUUCGAUACACGGACGAAGAACUUCG